rnacentral:rRNA from 1 species
CAAAUUUUAAAUCACCUAGGUUACCUGGGCGAGUUGUAAUUUGAAGAAAGUGUUUUGAUGCUCUGGUUUUGUCUAAAUCCUUUGGGAUAAGGUAUCAUAGAGGGUGAGAAUCCCGUUCAUGAUUUAAACCCUGGGUGUCACYUAAUUCACUUUCUAAGAGUCGAGUUGUUUGGGAUUGCAGCUCAAAAUGGGUGGUAAAUUUCACCUAAGGCUAAAUAUGUGCAAGAGACCGAUAGCGAACAAGUACCGUGAGGGAAAGAUGAAAAGAACUUUGAAAAGAGAGUUAAAUAGUACGUGAAAUUGUUGAAAGGGAAACGAUUGAAGUCAGUCAUGCUUGCAGGGAAUCAGCAUGGUGGUUUAUUCUUCCUUGUGCACUUUCUUGCUUGGCAGGUUAGCAUCAAUUUCGAUUGUCAUUAAAGAAUUGGGGGAAUGUGGCUUCUUCGGGAGUGUUAUAGACCCUGGUAGAUGUGGCGAUCGGGAUUGAGGAUUGCAGCGAAUGCUUUUUGGCUAGUCACCUGGCUUCUGAUAGUUGCCUUGCUUCCGAUAGCUUGCUAAUGGUGGUGAGACUCGAUUGUCUAGAUGUUAG